rnacentral:rRNA from 1 species
AAAUUCAAUGGCUGCAGUAACCAUGACUGUACGAACGUAGCAUAAUAAUUCGCCACUUAAUUAGUGGAUAGUAUGAAUGGUUGAACGAAAAUUCCACUGUCUUGUAUAAUAACAAAGAAAUUUAAAUCAUAGUUAAGAUGCUAUGUAAAGUUGUAAGACGAAAAGACCCUAUAAAGCUUAACUAUAAUUCUUUACAAAAAUUUUUGAAAAUAAAAAAAUAUAAAGAACUGGUAGUUUCAUUGGGGCGAUGGUCUCUAAAAAAAAACAGAGAUAAUUCUAUAAAUAAAAUAUUUUACUGUUUAAUCAAUAAAUUUAACAGUUACAAAGUAGGAUAUAAUGACCCAUUAUCUUUACUAAAAAAAAAUAAUGAUCUAUAAAUAAAAGCUACUUUAGGGAUAACAGGAUAAUAUUUUCUUAGAGCCCUUAUCGAAGAAAAAGUUUAUCACCUCGAUGUUGAAUUAAGAUAACCUA